rnacentral:rRNA from 1 species
AGAGUUUGAUCCUGGCUCAGGAUAAACGCUGGCGGCGUGCCUAACACAUGCAAGUCGAACGUCCUCUCGCAAGAGAGGGAGUGGCGGACGGGUGAGGAACACGUGAGUACCUACCUCAAGUUGGGAAUACCGGCGAGAAAUCGCCGACAAAACCGGAUACGCUCGGGAAACCGAGGAAAGCUCGCAAGAGCGCUGGAGGA